UUUCCGUAGGUGAACCUGCGGAAGGAUCAUUAUUACAUAACCGAUCUGUGAGGCCUGCCGCUGACCCGUUACGUCCUGCACGUCCGAGUGCCCUCACACACAUCCAUCUCACCCUUAUGUGCACCACCGCGUGGGUCCCCCUCUGCCUCGUUCGCAGGGGGGCCUAUGUUACAACUCAAACUUUGUAUGAUCUGCAUAAUGUUUUUUUUGUCUUUCCGAUCAUGCAUGCAAUAUAACUUUCAACAUCCGCUCUCUCGGCUCUCGCAUCGCUGCAGAACC
rnacentral:misc_RNA from 1 species